rnacentral:rRNA from 1 species
GUGGGGAAUAUUGGACAAUGGGCGAAAGCCUGAUCCAGCCAUGCCGCGUGUGUGAAGAAGGUCUUCGGAUUGUAAAGCACUUUAAGUUGGGAGGAAGGGCAGUAAGUUAAUACCUUGCUGUUUUGACGUUACCGACAGAAUAAGCACCGGCUAACUUCGUGCCAGCAGCCGCGGUAAUACGAAGGGUGCAAGCGUUAAUCGGAAUUACUGGGCGUAAAGCGCGCGUAGGUGGUUUUGUAAGUUGGAGGUGAAAUCCCCGGACUCAACCUGGGAACUGCCUCCAAAACUGCAUGACUAGAGUACGGUAGAGGGUAGUGGAAUUUCCUGUGUAGCGGUGAAAUGCGUAGAUAUAGGAAGGAACACCAGUGGCGAAGGCGACUACCUGGACUGAUACUGACACUGAGGUGCGAAAGCGUGGGGAGCAAACAGGAUUAGAUACCCCAGUAGUCC